AUGGCCUCCUUCGCCGCGCUUCCUCUGGCCGCUCUCCUGGUGCUGGCCGUCUCGUGGGCAUGGGAGCACCUCGUGUGGAGGCCCUACGCCAUAGGCAAGAGGCACAGGGCGCAAGGGAUUCAUGGCCCCCCUUACAGGUUCCUCAAGGGCUCAAACGAGGAGGUGAGGCGGAUGAAGGCGGAGACGGCCGACGUGGUGCUCGACGUUCGCGACCACAACUACCUCCCCAGGGUCGCGCCGCACUUCCUCAAGUGGAGGGCACAGUAUGGAGAGCCAUUUCUGUUCUGGUUUGGCGCGAAUCCCCGGAUCUGCGUCUUCGACUACGAGAUGGUUCGGCAGAUCCUUUCAAGCAAAUCCGGACACUUUCCGAAGAACGACGCGCACCCGAACGUGUUGGAAUUGCUCGGCAAGGGACUGGUAUUGGUGAACGGUGUGGAUUGGGUGCGCCAUCGCAGGGUCAUCGACCCUGCUUUCGCAAUGGAUAAGAUGAAGGCGAUGACGAAAACAAUGGUGUCUUGCGCCCAAUGCACGUUCGGUGUGUUCGAAGAGCAGGCAGCCAAGAACACAAAUGGAGAAAUCCUAGUGGAAUUCGACAAAGCAGUCCAAGGGUUGACAGCAGAUAUCAUAUCCCACACAGCCUUUGGAAGUAGCUACAAAUUAGGAAUGGAAGCCUUCCAUGCCCAGAAAGAGCUCCAGGCAAUCGCCAUAUCCAGUUUACUUAAUGUGCAGAUACCAGGAUUCAGCUACCUGCCCACAAGAAGGAAUAGGCUCAAGUGGAUGCUUGAAAAGAAGCUUAGAAGCACGCUCAUGUGUAUCAUAAACUCGCGGCUAGCGUCGCGAGGGAGCGGAUACGGAAAUGAUCUACUCGGUUUGAUGCUUGAGGCCUGCACCACAACAGAGCAAGGGGGCAAGCAAGAGCAGCUAAGCUUGAGCAUGGAUGAGAUCCUACACGAGUGCAAAACGUUCUUCUUCGCGGGUUACGAAACGACGUCGAUUCUGCUCACCUGGACAGUGUUCUUGCUCAGUGUGUACCCGGAGUGGCAGGAGAGGCUACGGGAGGAGGUCCUGAGGGAAGUUGGAACGGGUAACCCCAGCGGCGACAACCUCGGCAAACUGAAAGAGAUGACGAUGGUCCUCCAUGAAGCCCUGAGGCUCUACGGCCCUGCUCUUUUCAUGCAGAGGAAGACCAUAACUGACAUGGUGGUCGGAGCCAUAACAAUCCCCAAGGACCAUGCAGUUGUCAUAGGCGCCCCAUUCAUGCACCGGGACAAGAAGGUCUGGGGUGAGGACGCGGAUCAGUUCAACCCGACGAGAUUCGCGAACGGGGUCGCGAGGGCGGCCAAGGUUCCACACGCCCUGCUGGCGUUCUCGAUCGGGCCGAGGGCGUGCAUCGGCCAGAACUUUGCGAUGCUCGAAGCCAAGUCGGUAAUGGCCACGGUUCUGCAGAAGUUCUCCUUCACUCUCUCCCCGACCUACGUCCACGCGCCUGCGGAUUUCCUCACUCUGCAGCCUAAGUUUGGCCUCCCCGUCGUUAUGAAGCUGCUGGAUGUAUGA
rnacentral:rRNA from 1 species